rnacentral:lncRNA from 1 species
UGCUGGUCAGUUGUGCCCGAACUCCAAAGGGAGGCGAGUUCAAUGAGGCAUGUCUGAGACUCCCUUCCCAUCAUGGUCUAAACUAGUUUUUCAGGUUUCUUUGGAAUCCCCUUAGCCAAGACGGGGGUCCAUUCAGUUAGUUGGGGGCUUAGAAUUUUAUUUUUGGUUUACAAGGUAUACAUGGAAUUAAAUGAAUAAAUAUACUUUGGUUAAAGCAGCAGUCACCAACCUUUUUGGCACCAGGGACCGGUUUUGUGGAAGAUAAUUUUUCCAUGGAUGUGACAAGGGGGAUGGUAUUAAUGUUCCAACUCAAGAGCAUCAGGCAUUAGAUUCUAUAAGGAGCGUACAACCUAGAUCUCUCACAUGCAGAGUUCACAACAGGGUUCACACUCCUAUGAGAAUCUAAUCAGGAGGUAAUGCUGGCCUACCUGCAGCCCACCUCCCUGGACUUGGGGACUGGGGGAGGGGUUGAGGACCCCUGGGUUAAAGGACUCACAAAUGACAAAUGCAUUAUUAAAAACAACUGCCGGUGAGAAACUGUGUGGGAGCACAUCUCUAAGUAUUCAAUGUCACAUCGUGACAACAUAAUAUUGGUUGUGAUGCAUCCCCUAGUCCGUGUACUUGGUGAGUUCAGGGGCUGCAUCUGCUGAGAUCAUCUGAAAAAAAAAAAAAAAAAAAAAGGCAGAGUGAUGUAAGGAAAAAAAAUGUGGAUUUUAAAAAGAAGAAGAAUAUGGACUUUGGAUGCAGAAGACAGGUUUAAGUCCUGCUUCACCAAUUUUUAGCUGGAUGUUCUUGGCAAAAUAACUUUCUUCUCUGGGCCUUUAUUUUCUCAUCUGCAAAAGUAGAUGGUAGGAAUAUAAUUUUCUCUGGGUUGGAGUGAGGAUCAAACCACCUAACACAGCUGGGAUGUUGUGGCUGCACCUUAAGUUGGAUUUGCAGAUGGAGACAUACAAAGUGGAAGAAACCUAGAUCCUUGACUGAUCUCAUAGAACAGAGCUGCACUGUCAGCCAGGGCCACCCAGACUGUUAUGUAUCUUUUGCUUACUCCAUUGUAAUUUUGGGGUCUCUUUGUUACUGCAGCUUAACAUUUACCCUGGCUAAUACAGUCCCAUAUCACAUUAGUGGAAACACAUUAUAGCCGGUUCACACAACUUCAUCCAUCUUACUCAAAAUAUUAUUAAGAAAAAAAUUGGCUUUGCUAAGAUAUAGAUAAUACCAUGUCUAUAUCAAUCCCCUGAUCUAACAGUUUGAUAACCCCUAACAAAGACAACAGUGAGUCCAGGAAGUGGUAUUAAUAUAAUGAAUGUAUUUUCCAUGAACCCUUAUUAGCUCCUACUGAUCA